rnacentral:lncRNA from 1 species
AUGCACCACCCAAGGCAAACACGCAGGCUGCGGCUGAUACACAAAUUCAGGAACAUCUACCAUGACAGACGGAAUGAAAAGCCGUUCACGCUGUUACCCAAAUCCCGCGCAGACCAUGCUCUGCUGCGUACACAACCGCACUCAGGGCCCGCGCGCAGCCCCGCGCUGCCUCCGCGCUCCGAACAAAGCGCCGCGGUGCGCAGCACGCGCCCCUCCCCCCUCCGCCGGCGGCGAGGCCGCCUCCGCCCUCACCUCCUUGCCGGCAGGUCGCCGGCUCACCCUCAGCUCCUGCCAAACCCCGAGCUGGAUUGCCGGCUCCCCAGAGGGACCGCGGGGCGAUGCCGGCUUCUCCCGGCCUCCCGGAGAGGAGACACCAGCCCACGGCCGCCGCUCACCCUGCGCUGCGCUGCUGCGGACUCGGGUCGCGGCUGGCGCGGGGCGGGGCGGCGGGGCUCCCUGUGCCGCCCUGGGGGACCCUCGCCCUUCAGAUGCGGCUGUACUGAACGAUGCCCUGGGGAGCGACGUAUGAAAACCCAACGUCCCCCAAAAGGGGACGAGGAAGGCGUUUUGCACCUGACACUGCCCGCGGGCAAAGCUCCCGGCGCAGGCGCUGCUGGGGCGGCAGCAGCAGCGCGGCGCCUCCCUCUCCUGCUCGGUCCCGCGGAGGGCCGGGGGGCCGCGAACAGACAGAGACAGAGACAGAGACAGAGACAGAGACAGAGACAGAGACAGAGACAGAGACAGAGACAGAGACAGAGACAGAGACAGAGACAGAGACANNNNNNNNNNNNNNNNNNNNNNNNNNNNNNNNNAGAGACAGAGACAGAGACAGAGACAGAGACAGAGACACCCGCGCGCAGCCACCGCCCGCGGAGGGCGGCGUCGCGGCCCCGCCCCCGAGUCCCGGUGCUGCGCGGGGGGACGCCAGCUCGGGCUUUACCUCCGACAGCAGCGGGCGGAGCGCUGCGCAUGUGCACGGGCUCACCCAAGCCGGCCGGGGAGGCGGGUAAGCAGCGUUUGCGGGUGACUUUGCUGCUUCGCAGCGCCCGCUUCAUGGCUCAUCUCCUUCCGCUGGCGUGGGGGUUUCAACCCCCGGCCCCAGCCUUCCCAUGCUUGCCCUGGGGCAGCCUGGUUCCGCGCAUCAAGGGGCGUCGUUCCCGCCCGCGCCGUGUGCCCCCGCUGCCCUCGCGCGGGGAGAGCGGCGCUGGCUGCCGUUGGCGCGUAACGGCGGAUGCGCGAGAGCGGCUCUUGGGAGCGAUAAAUCUCCCGCUGACACUCCCCCCCCCGUGUAGACUGAGGAGGAGAGGUUGCUGGCGCCCACUUUUGCGGCAAGAGUCGCCUCUCAAGUGGGUCUGUGGGAAGGAGCCCGUUCAGGCACGGGGGAGUGCCUGCAGCCACCUGCGCGCCAGGUUCCGUCGGUAUCUGCGUGCUUCCUGCGUCGGGGCCGUGGGUGCAGCGGUGGUCGGGCAGCAGGAGCAAGUGGGGUGUCAUUCCUGGUGA